rnacentral:rRNA from 1 species
UACGGGGGGGGUAAGCGUGUUUCGGAAUUACUGGGCGUAAAGGGCUCGUAGGCGGCCAACUAAGUCAGACGUGAAAUCCCUCAGCUUAACUGGGGAACUGCGUCUGAUACUGGAUGGCUUGGAUCCGGAAGAGGGAUGCGGAAUUCCAGGUGUAGCGGUGAAAAUGCGUAGAUAUCUGGAGGAACACCGGUGGCGAAGGCGGCAUCCUGGGCCGGUAUUGACGCUGAGGAGCGAAAAGCCAGGGGGAGCAAACGGGGAUUAAGA